GGGCUGGACAAGGUAGCUGUGACUCAGCUGAGCUGCAGAGUGAGCACUGGGGAGGGCCUGCUCACUGGCCCGUGGCCACGCUGGGGCCUCUGGCUGAGCGUGGCGAGCAGAUGUUCACCGUCCCCCGCCUGUUCUCGGGAGGGCGCUGUCUCACUGCGCCCACGGGUGACCCCGGGGAGGGCGAGCGUGGGCCGUUAGCCCAGGCUGCACGUGGUGGCCCGGUGCUCCGGGCGAAUGCAAAGGACUGCUCUGUACCAAGGGCCGCGGUGCUGUCAAUUGCUCCAGCACUAAAAGUAAUAAUUUUAAAGGGAAAGCUCACGAGUCCAGAAGGAGCCCAUCAACAGCACGAGAACACCAUCUGUGCUGCCUGGGCCCCCGGAGGCUGCGGACCGACAGCCUUUAUGGAAACAAACGAGCCUCCACAGGCCCACCUUGCCCGCCAGGGCCCGAGCAGGGGGAGGAGAGCUGGGAACGACUCCAUUACUUCAGCUCUAACAGAGGAAGACGUCUGGGAGCAGAGGUCGCCUGGCGGAAGAGGCAGCUUCCAAGAUGAGUUUUCUUCUUUGCUCUUUUCCUAAUAUUUGACUUUUUAUAGUGGAUUCAAAACUUUUUUUUUCAGCAACAACUUUGUGGCGUACACUUCUAAAUCACAGCUAGAGAAAUGCCCACAAACCACUUGGAAGCCCUGGCAGCAGCUCCACGACUGGGAAGACGCUUGAACGUUACUGUGGAAUUGCCAGCACAAGGAAGAUGCCACCUUGAGAUAUCGCGGACAG
rnacentral:lncRNA from 1 species